AAUAUAUUAUUAUAUAUUUUAAAGCAAAAUAUAAAAAACAGACAUUUCAAAUAUUUUUAAAGUAAUAUAUAAAAAUUUUUAAGAAAUAUAAAUAACGCUCAAGUGUUUGAAGGGUGACAUAACACAAAAAAAAAAUUAUUUUGCAGAAAACGCAUUUUAAGUUUUCAAAAUUGUAAGGUUUUUAAUCAUUAACUCAACAAAUUUAUUCGUCAACAUAUAAUAUACUUCAACUUCUUCUCAGGGCGGAAAUAGUCGGUGUGCCCAUACUUCUUGCGACAAUUAUUAUCAAGGGGAUGGAGACGAGCGUAGCACUUACGGCCACCACCUGUAUCAUCGUAUGUAUGCGUAUAAUAACGAUUUGACGACGAUGAUGAUGUCGACUUAAAUGCUUAGGCAGUUGAUGUUAAUGUUGUUGUUGUUGCAGUGUGUUGUACACCAGGGUGGUAGCUCUUGCUGAUGAAGGAUUAUGUCGGGCCCAUCCGGUCCGCACAACCGACUGCCAUGGAAUUGAGUUGAUUACGUUGUUGAUGUUACUGAGGUACAUUUGGCAGCACUAUGGGUGUCCUUGGGUUUGCUCUGCAAGUAAAAAAAAACAAAAAAAUCAAUUGUAAUUUUAGAAUAGAAGCAAAUAAUAAAUAUACCAUAAAAUGCUCA
rnacentral:sRNA from 1 species